UUGCGGUUAAAAAGCUCGUAGUUGGAUCUUGGCAGGUAGGGGGCGGUUCGUUUCUGACGGCACUGCCCCAUUUACCUGUGUUUUUGCAAGAGGUCUCAAGGUGGCUUUAAUCGGCUGUCUUGGAACGCUUGCAGUUUUACUUUGAAAAAAUUAGAGUGCUCAAAGCAGGCUACAAAGCUUGAAUAUUUGUGCAUGGAAUAAUGGAAUAGGAAGUCGUUUCUAUUUUUUUGGUUUUCGGAAAUUGACUUAAUGAUUAAUAGGGACAGCCGGGGGCAUUAGUACUCAGACGACAGAGGUGAAAUUCUUGGACCGUUUGAGGACUAACUACUGCGAAAGCAUUUGCCAAGAGUGUUUUCAUUAAUCAAGAACGAAAGUUAGAGGUUCGAAGGCGAUCAGAUACCGCCCUAGUUCUAACCAUAUACAAUGCUGACUAGCGAUCCGUAGCUGUUUUCUAUGUA
rnacentral:rRNA from 1 species